AUGAAAACACACAGUGGAACUGGCAUCCAGGCCCAGAGAUGAGUUUGAAGGCUCUAGUAGAGUGACACUAGUUACCACAUUCCCAAGAAAUUCUCUAAUGAUUCUCUAAGGAGAAAUACAUUAUUUUCUUCGGAAAAUAAAGAAAUGGUCUAGUCCCCAGUCUAUUAUUGAAUAAUUCAAUAUGAAAUUCCUAAAAACUUUGCAUAAAAGUCUAAGAAUACCUAAUAUAAUCUAACGAUAUGGUGAUGAAUGAUGCAGUCAGUGUACAAAUAGGCAACAUCAUCAGAGUCAGGAUGAGCAGACUGGGAAGUAGCCUCCUUGUCCAAUGAUGUGACGCGAUGUGAAAACACUUGAUGAGAAUUACACAGUAUUAUAGAGCUACCAGGCAGCUACUGGAGAUUACUGAGCGCUACACAGUGACAAACCACUGACACACAGCUGUAUCUACGGCCAUGUUUCCCACAGCCAGCCGGUCUGUGGAUACUAAGACUAGAGGUGCAGAAAGAGAGGGAACAGGGGAUGAAGAGAAGCUCAGUGACAAACCACUGACACACAGCUGUAUCUACGGCCAUGUUUCCCACAGCCAGCCGGUCUGUGGAUACUAAGACUAGAGGUGCAGAAAGAGAGAGAACAGGGGAUGAAGAGAAGGGGACCAUCUGGAUGUCCUUUGUGUCUCCUCUUCUCUCACUCACUCUCUACUCUACUGCCAAUGCAAUCAUACUGACAGUCACUCCCUCUGCCUGCGACCACACACACACACACACACACACACACACACACACACACACACACACACACACACACACACACACACACACACACACACACACACACACACACA